rnacentral:rRNA from 1 species
GCAAGUCGAAUGGUAACAUGGCUAGCUUGCUAGCAGAUGACGAGCGGCGGACGGGUGAGUAACGCGUAGAUAUCUGCCUUGUAGUGGGGGAUAGCCCGGAGAAAUCCGAAUUAAUACCGCAUACGCCCUACGGGGGAAAGAAGGCCUCUUCUUGAAAGCUUUCACUAUUAGAUGAGUCUGCGUCGGAUUAGCUUGUUGGUGAGGUAAUGGCUCACCAAGGCGACGAUCCGUAGCUGGUCUGAGAGGACGAUC